rnacentral:rRNA from 1 species
AUUGAACGCUGGCGGCAGGCCUAACACAUGCAAGUCGAACGGUAGCACAGAGAGCUUGCUCUUGGGUGACGAGUGGCGGACGGGUGAGUAAUGUCUGGGAAACUGCCCGAUGGAGAGGGAUAACUACUGGAAACGGUAGCUAAUACCGCAUAACGUCUUCGGAGCAAAGUGGGGGACCUUCGGGCCUCACACCAGCGGAUGUGCCCAGAUGGGAUUAGCUAGUAGGUGGGGUAAUGGCUCACCUAGGCGACGAUCCCUAGCUGGUCUGAGAGGAUGACCAGCCACACUGGAACUGAGACACGGUCCAGACUCCUACGGGAGGCAGCAGUGGGGAAUAUUGCACAAUGGGCGCAAGCCUGAUGCAGCCAUGCCGCGUGUAUGAAGAAGGCCUUCGGGUUGUAAAGUACUUUCAGCGGGGAGGAAGGCGUUAAGGUUAAUAACCUUGGCGAUUGACGUUACCCGCAGAAGAAGCACCGGCUAACACCGUGCCAGCAGCCGCGGUAA